rnacentral:rRNA from 1 species
UACAGAGGUCUCAAGCGUUGUUCGGAUUCAUUGGGCGUAAAGGGUGCGUAGGUGGCGCCAUAAGUCAGGUGUGAAAUCUCGGGGCUCAACCCCGAAACUGCAUUUGAUACUGUGGUGCUCGAGUACUGGAGAGGAGAUUGGAAUUUACGGUGUAGCAGUGAAAUGCGUAGAUAUCGUAAGGAAGACCAGUGGCGAAGGCGAAUCUCUGGACAGUUACUGACACUGAGGCACACAGGCCAGGGGAGCAAACGGG